GAUGAAGAACGCAGCGAAAUGCGAUAAGUAAUGUGAAUUGCAGAAUUCAGUGAAUCAUCGAAUCUUUGAACGCACAUUGCGCCCGCCAGUAUUCUGGCGGGCAUGCCUGUCUGAGCGUCAUUUCAACCCUCAUGCCCCUAGGGCGUGGUGUUGGGGAUCGGCCAAAGCCCGCGAGGGACGGCCGGCCCCUAAAUCUAGUGGCGGACCCGUCGUGGCCUCCUCUGCGAAGUAGUGAUAUUCCGCAUCGGAGAGCGAUGAGCCCCUGCCGUUAAACCCCCAACUUUCCAAGGUUGACCUCAGAUCGGGUAGGAAUACCCGCUGAACUUAAGCAUAUCAAUAAGCGGAGGA
rnacentral:misc_RNA from 1 species